UACGUAGGGUGCGAGCGUUAAUCGGAAUUACUGGGCGUAAAGCGUGCGCAGGCGGUUUUGUAAGCCAGAUGUGAAAUCCCCGGGCUUAACCUGGGAAUGGCAUUUGGGACUGCAAGGCUGGAGUGUGGCAGAGGAGACUGGAAUUCCCGGUGUAGAGGUGAAAUUCGUAGAUAUCGGGAGGAACACCAGUGGCGAAGGCGGCGAUCUGGACAGAUAUUGACGCUGAGGUGCGAAAGCGUGGGGAGCAAACAGG
rnacentral:rRNA from 1 species